CUCGGCUCGACCCCGACUGGUGACCGGCGACGCUGGGCCGGGCUCGGCGGCGGGGGUCGGGGCAUAAACUCAGAAACUUACCUUCCAAUGACAACUCCACCAAUGGACUGAACAUGGAAUGAAGAUUAUUUUUCCUUUCCCUGAUCUAAAUGAUUCCUAGGAGGUCAACCUUAAUACCUUUACUGGAUGGAGUCUAGAGAGUCAACUUCAUUGAAGAAUGGUGCCCCUCCAGCCAAAAGAUGGUUGCUAAUUCACUCCUCCCUGUUCUUCCUGGUGGAUGAGUCUUCAGUCCAGGAAUAGAGAGGAGAUUGCUUCUGGGAGCUCUGUUGGAAGGUUAAGAUCCAGUGACUUCGCACAGCCAGAGCAUUCCCAUAUGAGCUGAUUUCAUUACCUGACCUCUUGAGGAUUGCGUGAUGAGGAAGUGGAAGUUCUGAGAAGUCCAAUGACUUACCCAAGAACACACAACUAACAGAUGUCGCCGUGUUUUAGCCUGGAAUUCAUCAUCUCUCUGAUACAUCAACAUUGACAUAUUACAUCUUCAUCUCUUAUUAUAGAAAAUGGAAAUGAAACCAGAAUGUGAGCAUGUUGAAUGAAUUGGACUCCCCAGAGACUUGGGGGAGAAGAAAACCUCCCACUCGCCUUUGACUUUUGCAUUUCUUGUUUCCCUCAUGUUUAGAUUGCACUUUGAGAAGUCCAUCUGGAAGUUCACUUUUUAUGUUUUGCAAAUGCGAGUCAGGCUUAUUGUCAAAAGACCAACCCCUACCUAAAGGAUGAAAAACAGUGGUUAAUUUGAGGGAAGUCAGUGGUCACAUCAGCCUGCACAGAGGAAUUGAGGCCUCCAGCCAACAGUCAGUGAGGCCCUGAGGCCUGCCGUUACCCCAGGAGAGAGCCUAGAAGUGGACCUCAGACUCACUGAAGUCUCCAGAUGACUGCAGGCUUGUAGGACUCUCAACUGGCCUCCCAGGUGUGAUGCUACAUAUUAAGGAAGCAAAGAUGAACAAGACAGAACCCUAGUUCUAAAGAAUCUCAUAGUCUGGAUGAGAAAAUAGCUUCUGUUGCAGGAUACCCAAGGAUUAACAUCCAGUGAACAAUGGAAACCCUGAGAUGAUGAAUAAGGCUAUGAAUCUUCCUUGACUCUUUAAACAGAUACAUGUGUGGUUCAGGUAAACAAAUUGCCUGACUACUUCAAUGUGUGUAGAACUGCCUUUCCAUCAGGCAGUGGUGAAAAGAAUCUAGCCUAAGAAAACUAAGGCUUGUCCUCUUACAGAAGAAAGAGAGAGCUCUGUGUCUUUGCAGUGGCAAGUAAAACUACAGUUGUACAAGCUAUUCCAUGUGACUUAAAUGGAAAAAAAUCCUUUCUGUGUCCAUAUGUUGUAUGUCUAUGUAUCUUCCCCUUUGUGUCUAUUGUCCUGGUCCUUGGAGGAUAUAGAAAUCGGUACAGAAAGCACCUAAAGAAAUGAUGAAAUUAAAAAAUAUAUAUAGGGCCUCCCCUGGUGGUACAGGCGAUUGAGCGCCACGCUGUGAAGCUGUCUGCAGUCUCUGCAGCUCCGGUUCAAUCCCAGCCAGCCGGCAAGAAUCCCACAUGGUGCAGCAGACCUCUCCUGUCUCACCUGCUGCUCCCCUCAGCAAUGUACUUCGGUCCAUCUGCCUGUUCUAUUCCCAGCUCUGUCUCUGGUGAAUCCUCUCACCCACCUGUGCAGCUGACCUGUAUCCCA